UCUUGAGCCAGUUUUAGCUACAUCUAGAGGCCCUUACUGAUUCUGGGUUUACUUUUUGCCGACUUAAAAGUCAAACUCAGGUCUUACACCAGCAAGAUAUUCAGAGCUGAUAUUUCACAGCUGUGUUAACUGUUUCUCAGAUUUGGACUCCUAGCCAAUUGUAGAGGCAAGAAAGAAGGGGAACAUAGAAGAAGGAGACCAAAAAGUCUGAAGGACAGUGAUUGCAGAAGAAGAAGAAAUUAUUCUAGAAAAUCAAGAGCAGAGUUUAUUGAGGACAAGAAAGAAAACAAGACAGCAGAACUCUGCUGGUGGACUUCAGAGAAAUGCAAAUUAGAACAACACUGAAAUUCCAUUUUACUUCAGAAAGAAUGGCCAUCAUCAAUAAAUUCAAUAAUAAUAAAUGCUGAGGAGGCUGUCUACACUGUGG
ensembl:lncRNA